UCUCUUUUCAAAUUUAGUACUGGUAAUUUGAAUAACUUUGAAAGAGCAAGUGAAAAGAAGAAAGCUUCAAAACAACAACACACCAACCACCACUUGUAUUUACUUUGUUUGUCUUCUCUAGUUUUUGCUUUCCCUUUCUCUCUUCAUUUUUCCUUUAUUUGCUUUCGAUUGUGAAACAAGCUCUGCGGAGUUAUUGCAGACCGGCCAGUGAAAAUGAGCGUGGUAGGGAGACAGAUGGCGAGAUCUAAUUCGGCGGCUCAUCAUCAACGGCAGUACUCCGAUAACUUCCUCGACGCGUCGUUUAACGCCAAAUGGCUUCAGUCCUCUAAUUUGCCUUCUUCUCAGGAUUUCGGGUUCUACGGCGGGGGAAGAAUGAGCAGGAAGUCACCGGAGCCAGGGACACCGCCGCUUUCUUCCAGGUCGUCGAGCUUGAGGAAGAACAGCGAUGAAUACGUGUCGCCCAGUGAGCUCAGCCCCGGCUUACUGGAUCUGCAUUCAUUUGAUACUGAGCUGCUUCCCGAGGUUCCUAGUCUUUAUGAAGGAUACGGGCUUCAAAAACCUGUCUGUGGUAAAAGUUUUGAUGAUUCUGAACAGUAUCUAUCUACCAACAAACUUCCGAACAGGCCACGUGGAAUGGCUGAGAAUAACCUUCUCAAAAGCAUCUCAGUAGAUAAAGAAAAAGCUAACAAUGUUGCCAAGAUUAAAGUUGUGGUGCGCAAGAGACCAUUGAACAAGAAGGAAAUUGCAAAGAAAGAAGAAGAUAUUAUCACUAUAGAGCCAAAUUCCAAUGCACUAAUGGUUCACGAGAAAAAGCUAAAGGUUGACCUGACAGAAUAUGUUGAGAAGCAUGGAUUUAUUUUUGAUGCCGUACUGAAUGAAGAUGUUAGCAAUGAGGAGGUGUACUCGGAGACUGUGGAGCCGAUAGUCCCACUAAUUUUCAAUCGAACAAAAGCAACCUGUUUUGCGUAUGGGCAAACAGGAAGUGGGAAGACAUAUACUAUGCAGCCACUGCCUCUAAAAGCAUCUCAAGAUAUAUUAAGACUAAUGUAUCACACAUAUCGGAACCAAGGUUUCCAACUCUUUGUCAGUUUUUUUGAGAUAUAUGGAGGAAAAGUCUUUGAUCUCCUUAAUGAUCGGAAAAAGCUUUGUAUGAGAGAAGAUGGUAAACAACAAGUAUGUAUUGUGGGUCUGCAAGAGUACAAGGUAUUAGAUGUUCAGACAAUCAAGGAGUUAAUCGAGAGAGGAAAUGCAACAAGAAGCACUGGCACUACUGGAGCGAAUGAGGAAUCUUCAAGGUCACAUGCUAUUCUUCAGCUUGCCAUCAAGAGAUCAGCUGAUGGCAGUGAAUCAAAGCCUCCUAGACCUGUAGGGAAACUUUCCUUCAUAGAUCUUGCUGGAAGUGAGCGUGGUGCUGAUACAACUGACAAUGAUAAACAGACAAGAAUGGAAGGUGCUGAAAUUAAUAAAAGUUUACUUGCUUUAAAAGAAUGCAUCAGAGCUCUUGACAAUGACCAGGGUCACAUACCUUUCCGAGGAAGUAAGCUGACUGAAGUUCUUAGAGAUUCAUUUGUUGGUGACUCACGUACUGUUAUGAUAUCAUGUAUUUCACCAAGCUCAGGGUCAUGUGAACAUACCCUGAAUACACUCAGAUAUGCUGAUAGGGUGAAGAGCCUAUCAAAAGGGAACAACUUCAAGAAGGAUAUGCUAUCUUCAUCAUCAAAUCUUAGGGAGUCAACUGCUUUGCCUUUGAGUUCAUCUUUACGAACUGACACAUUUGAGGAUGAUAUAACCGAUGUUCCUUUUGAAAAGAACAAAUUUGGUUGGUCCAAACCGAUUGAAAGAGAUACGUCUCUUAAAGUGGAUCCUGUUGCUAGUGGAAGGGUGGACGGACAUUUGGUUGGUCCAUAUUCCGAUUAUUUUAACAGUCAGAGAGGUGAACUAAACGACAUGCCCGAGGAUGAUUUUGAUUACUCGGAGGAGGCAUAUGAGCAACCAAAGAUGUUGCAGAAAACAAAAGAUCCUAUGAUGAAGCAAGCGAAUCCUUCAACCUUUGAUGAUAACAAUUAUCAUUCAGAUGAUGAUUUGAGUGCCCUGUUGAAGGAAGAGGAAGAUCUUGUAUCUGCUCAUAGAAGGCAAGUCGAGGACACAAUGGAGAUUGUUAGGGAGGAAAUGAAUCUGCUAGUUGAAGCUGACCAACCAGGCAAUCAACUGGAUAAUUAUAUCUCGAAGUUAAAUACCAUUCUUUCACAGAAGGCUGCAGGAAUCGUACAACUGCAAGCGCGCUUGGAUCAAUUCCAAAAACAUUUAAAGGAGUACAAUGUUUUAGUAUCUUCAGGCAAUUGAUAAACCGGUUAAUGAAGCUGGUGAAACCCAUUGAUAUACUGUGGAGUUCAGCCUGGGUGUGGACUUAGACCUGCCUUUGAUUUGAUUGUUUCUUCUUUGAUGCUGUGGCUUUCUUCCUCCAUUUUUGAUGCUUCAGGUACAAAAUCCAACCCAAGUUAAGUAUGAAUGUUUAUUGCCACAUAAUCGGGAGACAAAUAAAAAGCAAAAUCAGAAUCGACCGAACACCUGUACUUUUAUUGCGUUACUGCAUGAUCCAAAUUCGGAUCGGAGCGAAUCUUCCGCGAAUAUACAAACAUGUUGGUACAA